rnacentral:rRNA from 1 species
CAGUAGCCGCGGGAAUACAGAGGGUGCGAGCGUUAAUCGGAUUUACUGGGCGUAAAGCGUGCGUAGGCGGCUUCUUAAGUCGGAUGUGAAAUCCCUGAGCUUAACUUAGGAAUUGCAUUCGAUACUGGGAAGCUAGAGUAUGGGAGAGGAUGGUAGAAUUCCAGGUGUAGCGGUGAAAUGCGUAGAGAUCUGGAGGAAUACCGAUGGCGAAGGCAGCCAUCUGGCCUAAUACUGACGCUGAGGUACGAAAGCAUGGGGAGCAAACAGGAUUAGAACCGUGUAGUCCCUGUCUCUUAUACAC